rnacentral:rRNA from 1 species
GCAAGUCGAACGAGUUCUCGUUGAUGAUCGGUGCUUGCACUGAGAUUCAACAUGGAUCGAGUGGCGGACGGGUGAGUAACACGUGGGUAACCUGCCCUUAAGUGGGGGAUAACAUUUGGAAACAGAUGCUAAUACCGCAUAGAUCCAAGAACCGCAUGGUUCUUGGCUGAAAGAUGGCGUAAGCUAUCGCUUUUGGAUGGACCCGCGGCGUAUUAGCUAGUUGGUGAGGUAAUGGCUCACCAAGGCGAUGAUACGUAGCCGAACUGAGAGGUUGAUCGGCCACAUUGGGACUGAGACACGGCCCAAACUCCUACGGGAGGCAGCAGUAGGGAAUCUUCCACAAUGGACGCAAGUCUGAUGGAGCAACGCCGCGUGAGUGAAGAAGGCUUUCGGGUCGUAAAACUCUGUUGUUGGAGAAGAAUGGUCGGCAGAGUAACUGUUGUCGGCGUGACGGUAUCCAACCAGAAAGCCACGGCUAACUACGUGCCAGCAGCCGCGGUAAUACGUAGGUGGCAAGCGUUAUCCGGAUUUAUUGGGCGUAAAGCGAGCGCAGGCGGUUUUUUAAGUCUGAUGUGAAAGCCCUCGGCUUAACCGAGGAAGCGCAUCGGAAACUGGGAAACUUGAGUGCAGAAGAGGACAGUGGAACUCCAUGUGUAGCGGUGAAAUGCGUAGAUAUAUGGAAGAACACCAGUGGCGAAGGCGGCUGUCUGGUCUGUAACUGACGCUGAGGCUCGAAAGCAUGGGUAGCGAACAGGAUU